rnacentral:misc_RNA from 1 species
CUUCUGAUCGUACCUUGCGGUCAUCUUCAAAUGUGGCUCAUAAACAGGCCGAAGCACCUGCCGGAUCACGGAAGCCUACACCACAAAGAAAGAGGAGUCCUCUUAAAGGGAAGAAUGUACGGGAUCAGUCAGAGAAUGCUAAACCGAUAAAUGGUUUGCAUACUAAAUUGAUUGAUCAGCAUCGAUGGGCUAGCAGGUUAGGUGGGAAGGUAUCUUC